rnacentral:tRNA from 1 species
CCAGUCGUAGCCGAGUGGUUAAAGCGAUGGACUAGAACUCCAUUCGGGUUUCCCCGCACAGGUUUGAAUCCUGUCGACUGCG